CAGUCGCCGCGGGAAUACCGAGGGUGCAAGCGUUAAUCGGAAUUACUGGGCGUAAAGCGCGCGUAGGUGGUUUGUUAAGUUGGAUGUGAAAUCCCCGGGCUCAACCUGGGAACUGCAUCCAAAACUGGCAAGCUAGAGUAUGGUAGAGGGUGGUGGAAUUUCCUGUGUAGCGGUGAAAUGCGUAGAUAUAGGAAGGAACACCAGUGGCGAAGGCGACCACCUGGACUGAUACUGACACUGAGGUGCGAAAGCGUGGGGAGCAAACAGGAUUAGAUACCCCAGUAGUCCCUGUCUCUUAUAC
rnacentral:rRNA from 1 species